rnacentral:lncRNA from 1 species
CAUGAAAUCCGAGAAAGGAUCCAUGUAUGAAAACAAAGUGUGGACUUUGGAAGAACUACUUGAUGGUCGCAAGGCUAUUAAGUACAAAUGUAUCUUUAAAAGGAAGACAGACGAUGAUGGUAAAUGUCAUGUAACGCCCAAGAUGUUGUCCUAACCUUAUUUUGGCGCGAGGGCCACGACAGGGAUAGAAACGCAUCUCGUUGUUUUGCAAGAAUGGAUAUCGUUACAAGUACAUGUACUGAAAAUAUGAGUAUAAGGAGUUGGCUUACACUCGCCACAAGAUACAUCAGAGUCACAUCAAUAACAAUAUAAUAAACCAUUAUGAAGAAGAGCAGGGUCCGACUACGAACGAAAACAAACGAUAAAAGAACGACGUCCAUCCUUGCUAUCCCAGGCUGCCGGCCUGGAACCCAUC